UCAUGAAUAAUCAAAUUGUUUUGAAAUGGAAACUUAAAUGAUGCAAGGCGAUUCCGAAAUUUUUGGCCAUUUUCCGUUGGAGUGUUCUCGACCUGCCCAGGCAGAUUCCUUGCCAAAUUGCUCAACUUUUUAAGUGCUUUGAUUUGCAUUGCCAGGAUGUGGGGGAGGUGCAGUUGCAUCGCUGGAUGAGGAUGGAAGUGAAACGUGAACCGUGAAUAUGGAGCUGUGCAAACGACCUUUGCUUUUUGGAUUGUCGUUGGCUUAGUCCCGACUCGUAUUCGCAUUAACGCCAUUAGGCCAAUUUGGCACUUUGCCCUGGCCCGAAAGGCGAAAGGCGAACGGCGCACGGAGAAGUUUCACAAACAAAGGUAACAAACGGCGGCACGAUGCUGCAAUAGCUUUUCCCAAAAACCUGAAAACCUGAAAACCGUGGCAAGCCCCCGGAUCUGCCCCUCCGAACGCCACUCACAUGCCAAUGCACGUGUAAAUAAAAGUCAAGUGAGAAAAACAAAUAAAUUAGAAGCGCA